GGUUUGGUGGCCGAGUGGUCUGAGGCGCUACGUUUGGGUUAAUUGAUCGAAAGAGCGCGCGUUCGAAUCGCGCCCAAAUCA